rnacentral:misc_RNA from 1 species
GAAAUGCGAUAAGUAGUGUGAAUUGCAGAAUUCAGUGAAUCAUCGAAUCUUUGAACGCACAUUGCGCCCUAGGGUAUUCCUUAGGGCAUGCCUGUUCGAGCGUCAUUUCCACCCUCAAGCACUGCUUGGUGAUGGGCGCCUGUCCCGCCUCUGCGCGUGGACUCGCCCCAAAGUGAUUGGCAGCCGGCGUACUGGUCCCGGAGCGCAGCACAUGUCGCGCAAACGAGUGCCUUGGUACGGCGGCGUCCAUAAGCCCCUCUCUCACGCUCUUGACCUCGGAUCAGGUAGGGAUACCCGCUGAACUUAAGC